GGCGGCGGGAGGGAGGCGGCGUAACGGGGCCAGCGCCCCGGGGGGCUGCGGGGCCGCUCCCGCCUCAGGCAGCGCCCGCCGGGGCUGCCUCCCCUCGGCCCCUCAGGCCACAGUCCGUCCGGGAGCUGCCGGUGGCGGCACACGGGGCGGGCUCGGGUGCCAGCUGCCCCUCCGCGCCCGCAGCUCGGCCGUCCCGCCCGGGGCCGCACAGACAGCGGAUACAGCAUAUCUGAGUUUGGAUUCACCUUCACCUGUGUAUCCCAGAGCUACAGAAUGGGUUGUGCUGGAGUUUCACUGGAACGCCACCGAGCUCCAAGCUGUGGCAGUGAAGACGAUCACCAAACAAGCUACUUGAUCAGUUUCUUACUGACUCGAUGACUAAUCAUGAUAACUUAUCAGCUGUGCCGACUCAAGGGGAACUGAUUAUGUACAGUCCCUUUCACAUGCUCCUGUGAACAUCUGAGACCGAUGACCCAGUGCACGUGGAGUGUGCAGUAUUGAAAGGUGCCUUAAUCAGUUCAUUUUGUGUUUGAGCAUGUUCUGGAUUUAACCAUUCCCCGUCCUACUUUCCUUGUGAUCAUGCGCGAGCUUGUGAGCACCCUUGCAACAUUUUUAUUCCUCAUGAUCAGGCUCUAAGCCAGAACUGAUGUCAAAGAUGAGUGUAAGGAGAACAGCAGGUUUCCAGAGAAGGGCUUGCCUGGAUGAGGGCAGGCACACGGCAUCGCAGGGACAUUAGGAGCAUUAAGACACUGUUUUGUUUUUCAAAGUCUGGACUCAGAAUCAGCUGGGAAAGCAAUGUGAUUCCAAGUGACUGCUUACAAUGUAGGUCAGUUCAAUGCAAAAGUGAAAGCACAUGUACCAUCAGAUUCCCACGUCUGGAGGGGGAGGGGAUGGCAGCCUGCAAGUGCAAAAAGCCCCAGAACUCAUGUGUGACUCGUGUUUUCCGAAACAAAAACAAUCUUUAGAUGGAAGUAAUAAGUGUUACCUGUGUCAAAGAAACAGAGACCAAGAGUGAGCACGAGUGGGGAGAGGACCAGUCAAAGCCUCAAAACGUGCAAAGAUGGAGACCUAACAGCAGAGAAUAAGAGGACAUGAACUCGGCUGUGCUGGCAGUGAAAUGAUUGGGAGUUUCGCCAUGAAAGCAGUAAUGAGUUGUUCUUUCAGCAUUUCAGUACCCAUCACCAUAUUAUCUAGGCGCCACCAUAAGAUUAAGAAGCUCUGCAGUGACAUUCUCAACAUGAUCUGUUCAAAGGUCAUUAGCAGAGCCUCUCAUACUGGAAAAGAUUGGAGGAGAGUACGGAAGUGAGCCACAGAAGGAGAGAAAAAGGAAAAGGAGGCGUUAGGGAGCCUGGUUUGGUCCUGAGGAGGCCAAUGACAAUAUGCUGACGUGUUGCUCAAACAAACCUGCUGAAGUCUUCUGUACCCCUUCUGGUACAAAAACCUCGGGGAUUUACACUAGAGGAAAAAUAGGUGGUUCCUAAGCGAGAAGGAAGAGCCAAAGUUGGAAGCUAACCACAGGACGUGGGUGUAAGCGAUUACCAAAGGCUUCCAGUAACUCUGCUAUCAUCAGAGACUGGCUUUAUGGGUAUGGCCUCAAGAAGUUUCCCUCCACUUAAUUAAAGAGGCAGAUAAGUAUCUAGGUGGAGUGUGCAGAUAGGUUCUGAAUGAGUUAUCCACUAAGGCUGGUUCGCUGCACCUAUUGUUAAAGCCAAAAUAUAUAUCAGAUUAAUGCAUUAUAUUUGCCUAUUAUAGCACUAUGUCAUCAUUAUAUGACAUGUUAUAAUUAAAGCCCUGCGUUAGAAACAAAACUAUUUGGCUUGGGAUAAGUUGCCUUUAUGACUUCUGUGGUUAUGAUUUCCUCCUUUUCUUAACCCCUUAAAAGUGCAUAAUAUAGCUAUUUGUAACUGUAUAAAGAAAGUUUCUAGUUUCAGAUUCUAAUCUCAGGUAAUUCAAUGUAAAUAAAGUCAAAAUCUGGCACGUA